GACGAACGCUGGCGGCGUGCUUAACACAUGCAAGUCGAACGAAGUGGCGAACGGGUGAGUAACGCGUAAUCAACCUGCCCUUCAGAGGGGGACAACAGUUGGAAACGACUGCUAAUACCGCAUACUUAAGGAGGGGAUUGCGUCUGAUUAGCUCGUUGGAGGGGGAACGGCCCACCAAGGCGAUGAUCAGUAGCCGGGCUGAGGGGAUGGACGGCCACAUUGGGACUGGGACACGGCCCAGACUCCUACGGGAGGGAGGAGGGGGGGAACUUCCGAAAUGGACGAAAAGCUGACGGAGCCACGCCGCGGGGGAGGAGACGGCCUUCGGGUUGUAAAGCUAUGUUAAUCGGGACGCGGUACCGGAAGAGAAAGCCACGGCUAACUACGUGCCAGCAGCCGCGGUAAUAC
rnacentral:rRNA from 1 species